UGGCUCAGGACGAACGCUGGCGGCGUGCCUAACACAUGCAAGUCGAGCGGAGACAUGCGACGGAAGAGAAGUUUCGGAUGGAUCGGAAGAUGUAUGUUUAGCGGCGGACGGGUGAGUAACGCGUGAGCAACCUGUCCUUCACAGGGGGAUAACACAGCGAAAGUUGUACUAAUACCGCAUGAGACCACAGCGGGACAUCCCGCAGGGGUCAAAGGAGCAAUCCGGUGAAGGGUGGGCUCGCGUCCGAUUAGAUAGUUGGUGAGGUAACGGCCCACCAAGUCGACGAUCGGUAGCCGACCUGAGAGGGUGAUCGGCCACAUUGGGACUGAGACACGGCCCAAACUCCUACGGGAGGCAGCAGUGGGGAAUAUUGGGCAAUGGGGGGAACCCUGACCCAGCAACGCCGCGUGAGGGAAGAAGGUUUUCGGAUCGUAAACCUCUGUCCUUGGUGAAGAGGAAGAGACGGUAGCCAAGGAGGAAGCCCCGGCUAACUACGUGCCAGCCGCCGC
rnacentral:rRNA from 1 species